rnacentral:rRNA from 1 species
ACUCAAAGGAAUAGACGGGGGCUCACACAAGCGGUGGAGCAUGUUGCUUAAUUCGAGGCAACGCGAAGAACCUUACCUGGGUUUGACAUGGCUGGAUUAACUCCUGGAAACAGGAGCCACGCCCGCAAGGGUGGAACAGUCACAGGUGCUGCAUGGCUGUCGUCAGCUCGUGCUGUGAAGUGUCGGGUUAAGUCCUCUAACGAGCGCAACCCCUGUCGUUAGUUGCUCACGGGUAAUGCCGAGUACUCUAGCGAGACUGCCGUUGUAAGACGGAGGAAGGCGGGGAUGACGUCAAGUCCUCAUGGCCCUUACAUCCAGGGUUGCAAACGUGCUACAAUGGCGCGCACAAAGCGACGCGAGGCCGCAAGGCGGAGCAAAUCGCAAAAAACGCGCCCCAGUUCGGAUUGCAGGCUGCAACCCGCCUGCAUGAAGUCGGAAUCGCUAGUAAUCGGAGAUCAGCUACGCUCCGGUGAAUAAGUUCCUGAGCCUUGUACACACCGCCCGU